rnacentral:lncRNA from 1 species
AAAAGGUAAUUUUUAUUCGGGUAUUAUUUUUUUCGGGGUGUUUUAUUUUUUGUGGGAGUUGGGUAUAAUGGGGAGUUGGACCGGUUGGAGAGGCCCAACCCAUUUCCCUCUCUACUCUCCCGUUUUCCCCUCCCCCCCGAGUCUUCUUCCCUGCAGGAUCGUCCAGCCAACAUCUGCCGCCGUCCGGCCAGCCACCGGCCGCCGCUCCACCCCAGUUCGGACCCCCAUCUCCUCCUCUCCCUCCCCGGCCUAGCCCCCGAGCCGUUAGCCCGCCGGAAGAAGAGAAAACUCGCCGGAGACGCCGGGAAGCUUUUCGCCGGAACUCCCUCCUCCGGCCACCAAUCCGGGCAAGCUUGAUACGGUUUUGUAGCUCUCCAACCUAGCAGCCUUGCCCUAAAAGGACUCACCCUCUCUUGAGCUAGGUAAGGAGAAAUGUGGAGUUGAAAUUUCUAGGACUUUUAGGAUGUUUUUAGUCGAUUACCCUAGUUCGGCUUGAAAUUGGUGUUUGUGCUAGUUAAGAGAGUUGUAGAGCAUGGUGAGAGGAUUAUUCUGUCAAAAUUUCAUAGGAAUCGGACGUCGCCGGAAUUGGCCUCCGGCCGCCGCUGCCGGCGGAGCCGCGGUUUGGGAGAUUUUUAGGGUUUUAAAUGUGGAAUAUUAAGGGGAUUAUAUUGAUGUGAUUUAUGGAAUUUUUGGAUGAGAUUUGGAUAGGUUUGUGAAUUUCCGAAGUUGGUAUUUUUUGGCGGUUAAUUAAUGUAGAAUCCGGCAGUAGGAUUUAAGUCGUAUUUUUAGGAGGUUGUAUUUACGACUGUCGAGGAUGAUAUUUAAGUUCGGAUCGUUUCGAUUUAAGAAUAUCGAAGUUAGGCAAUGAUGAGCGUAUUUAUGGCUCUCGGGUAAUUUUGCCUAUUUUGAUUAAUUAUUAGAUUGUUAGUUGGGAAAUUAAUAUUAUUUUUGGAUUAGGACGUGAGGAGGCUCGAGAAGACGAGACCCCAGAUCGACGUCAGGCUUAGGCCUAAUUUGUGAGUGGACUUUUGUUUUAAAUAAAAUGCAUGUUAGAGUUCAUGGUUGAACAAUAAUUGUUGCGGAAUAUUUUGACGUCAUUUUAAUUUGACGAAUUUUAUUUCUCUUGGAGAGUUACCGAAAAUGGGAUUUUCGGUGGAUAUAAAUAUGUAUUUAUGAGAGAGUAUGUAUAUAAAAUGCUAGCUAGCCAGCCAUAUGUGUCUGUCCACCUUAAUGGCGUAACAUAUAGCCGCAUUAUGGUGUGACGUGAGCGUUGGACGUGAGCGUAGUAGCCCUAUUUGAGUGUUUAAUUCAUAUAGGUGGUAUGGACACAUAUUUAUACACCCGUCUGUCCACCUUAAUGGCGUAGUGUAGCACCGCAUUAAGGCGUGACGUGAGCGUUUGACGCGAGCGUAGUAGCCCUAUAUAGACCCAUGAAUUUAUAUAGGGAGUAUGGACGAGUGUAGAUACAUACAUAUAGUAUAGAGUCUGAGAGGCUCGAUAUUUUAUGAGAUAAAAGUUUUAUUGCUUGCGGCAUGCAUUCGAUUUUUCCUUAGAAAUUACUUUGGGGAAACAUAAAUAUUUUAUUUAUUAUUUUAUUUUUGUCCACUCACUCUAACGUUAUUAAAUGUUUUCCCCUGGCCCCUUCGUUUUAAAUUUCCCAGUCUGCAGAGUUCGGGUUGGAUCUAGUAGGAGGCGAGGCAUAGUCACCCGCAUUUCUGCCAGUUUUCAUCAGUAGGUUACCUGUUCAACCUACUUGUGUUUUCUUGCUUCCGCUAGAGUCUAGUAGCUCUGGAUACUUUGGGAUUGUUGUAUAUUAUUUCGGUAGUGUGCUCGGCCUGUUGGUAUUAUGUUUAGAAUUUCUGAAGGUUAAUUAUGUGAUGUUUGGACGUAUCGUUUUAAGAGUGUAAUUUGGAAUUUUCGAGUUAGGGUUGUCCAUUUUCAAGGGAGAUUUUAUCAAUCUUUUCAAUAAAUUUUCCUUGGAGGUGGUUCCCGCACGACUUACUCCGGGUUUCAGGGUGAAAUUCGGGGUGGGUCGUGUCAAUUUCUAUGAAAAAUUAAAUUGGGAAUGCAUAAAUAUUUUUAUUGAAUUCAUUUUUGUCCACUCAGUCUAACGGUUUCAAAUGUUUUCCCCAGGGCCCUUCCUUUUAAAAAUGCCUAGUAUGCAGCUUAGCAUAGUUGAGGUCGGGUGUACAUGGAGACGAGGCAUAAUCAAUAGUAUAGCUUCCGCUCAUAUUUCUAUUUCUAGUUCCUAUCUCCUCUAAUAGAGUUGCUCUGAACCUGUGAUUGUUGGUUAUGGGAUUUUUGCUAGAUUAGUAAAUAUAAAUUGGGAGAUGUUGUGAUUUGUGGGGAGCACGAAGGCUCCAAGAGUUUAUUAGGUUGGAGUUGGAACUGUUAGAAGUGUUUGCAGGUGUUUUAGUUAGGAAGGGUUGUCCAUUUUCAAGAGAGGUUAUGCCAAUUUUUCGGUAAAUUUUCCUUGGAGGUGGUCCCCACAGGUUUACUUUGGGUUUCAGGGUGAAAUUCGGGGUGGGUCUUAACACAGAGAAAGAGAGAGAGAGAGAGAGAGAGAGAGAGAGAGAGAGAGAGAGCGCGG